ACAAGAUCAUUGCACUCAGAUUACAAUAAUACUAUUGUGUUAUUGUUAUUGACGCAAACCGAUGUCCGUAUAAAUUGCCGGACACAAUCGGAUCUAGCAUACUGCAUAACACUGUAUUUCUGUGUGCACUUCUCUGCUCUUUGUCUUUUUAUUCCGACGAGUUCUCCACGAACCAAGCCAAAAUCAAAAAUGGGCGCUGAAAAGAUGCAAUCCGCCAACACAGUCUCAAACGCCACGUUCCCCUUGCCGCCACGGGGUGUAGUUUAUUAAGAUACAGAAAUGUUAAGAAAUCUCAAUCCAAUGAUCCAAUGCUCAACAUGGCCAUAGACCAAACGGUACAUAAUAUAAAAUUAUAAUGUAGAAUUUUCACAAAAGCAAUUAAAAAUAAAAAAUGUAGAAUUUUGUAUGAAAACUAUAAAAUAAACUACUUUUCCGUUA